AGGAGUUGCACAUGUAGAGCUAGCAAGAGCAUGUAUGAUUUAGUCCUCGAUAAAUUACUUACAUACACAAAAUUGCCUUUCAUGUUUAGAGUGGUUGUGGGAACUGUGGUGCCUGCAGAUUUCCCCUCCACCCAACUUGUCGCAGCCAUGCUGAUCGACGUCCCAGGCUACUCUGGCAGAAUGCCCAAAACCUUCCUGAGUUUAUGCUUGUGAUGACAUUGCUGCUCAUGCUCAUUCUCACGCUGCUCUGGUGGAGUAGUCCCAAAAUGGCAGCAGCCACGACAGCGUUUGCGAACAUGCCCUUCCCAUUAUACCUACAAGCACAGUCAGAGAACUGUGUUAAAGCACAAAAACUAAGUCAAGAAAUGGUGGUGUCAGGAAGCCUGCAGCCUGGGGUUGGCAGAAACCAACGACACGUAAAGAAACCAAGCAGAAGAUCAAGAUGCAGAGGUUGGAGGCGAUCAACUGGCAGUGGGGCUUUGGUGGAGAAGGAGAUGUCAGAGAGGAAGGAGAGCAAGGUCAUACACCAGCCCCUCUCAGCUAGAUAAGUUCUCUGCUAAACACCUCAAACAAAAUGAGAAAUCUACUACAAAGCCAGUUCUAUUCUCUCAUCCCAAGCACACUCCCAAAUGAUCCUGUGCAGAAGAGAAAAACCUUUCACAGAGUACCCCCCCCAAAAAACAAGGCAUCUCCCUGCCAGGGUAGAUGUCAGACUGGAGAGGGUUCCACUCCCAGCCCUUCCUACCAUGUUGACAGCCCCAGACAGAAGGACCACCACCAGCACCAGGAGAUCCAGAGGAGGAGAGCACCAGCAGCCCUUGUUUCCCGGCCCCCGUGGGGAAGACAUCUCCAGGGAGAGUCUCACAGAGCAGCCCAGCUGUUGUGAAAAGAUACCGCAAGGGAUAGACACCCCUGCACCUGGCUGCUAUAAAGGGAGAUGUGGAGACCGUGAAGGAGCUCCUAGGCCAGGGGGCUGACCCCAACCUGAAAGACGCCGCUGGAUGGACCCCACUGGUGAGUGAAGCCUCAUCUCCCUCAGUCUUCCUGUCUAGACAGCAAAAUACAACCAACCAUCUACAGUACAUGUUGUUAUAGCAUGCCAGUCUUUAACUUUGUCUUGCUGGAGCUGUUAUACUUAAGCAUAUUUCUAAUCUAUGAUUUUUGUCUUUUUAACGAACUCAUUGAAUAUCUACCAUAAAUAUUCAAGUGAAAUGUACCUUCAUUUGUAAUGUUAUCGGUGCUAGUGAUGUAGUUAUUAAAUUGUAAUAUGAUUCAGCAGGGAUCAUCCACUAGAUUUAGUCAUGUGCCCAUUAUCUUAGGGAUUCAUUGAGUUGGGCAAUACAACAAAAACAGCUGAACAUCAUUCUACAGGACUGUUAUGGUUCAGUGAGAAACAUGACUGGCGAAGAAGUCACUCAGAGCUGGUCUGAACCGACAUGUCAACGACCCCCCCCCCCCCCCCCCCAUCAGUUUGGCAUGGAAUAUACAGAAGGACACCAAAUUCACAACGAGCAACAAUGUGUUUGUAGGCGUAAUUAAAAAGUUGAGGAAAGAGGGGCGUGACAAAACUGCCCAUCACACAGCCAUAACUGAAGUUUGGACACGACAUGCAGCUCAUCAAACAAUCCAAGGCUCUGGACACUGAAACAUCUGAGGGUUUGGUGAACAAAGUGUGGUUUGAUGUUAAUUUUGGGCGAAGGGGAAGGAGGGAGAACGUUUUCUUAAAACUGACUGAUUUAAAAUAUGUACAGACACAGUUUUUAUAUGAAUGUAAUGUACGUUUGCUAUCUAGCCUGUGGUUAUGUUUCACAGCAACCAGUCUAGCAACACAACUUUUGUCCGGACUACUUUUUUUGGCGGAAUGUAUUUAUGAAUUUAUUUAUUAAAGCUAAAUGUUCAAUUUAGAUGUGUCGUUCCUUGCCUUGCUGUGUUGGCAACCGGUUUAUAAAAGCAAUAAGACACCUCGGGGGGUUAGUGGUAUAUGGCCUAUAUACCACGGUCAAGGGCUGUAUCCAGGUACUUGUGCAAAAUAAAACAACCCAUAGCCGCGGUAUAUAGGUCCUAUACAACACCCCCUCAGGCCUUAUUGCUUAAAUGUCCAGUACCGGUCAAAAGUUUGGACACACCAACUCAUUCAAGGGUUUUUCCUUUAAUUUUUGCUAUUUUCUACAUUGUCAAAUAAUAGUGAAGACAUCAAAUCUAUGAAAUAGCAUAUAUGGAAUCAUAUAAUAACAAAAAGUGUUCAACAAAUGAAAAUAUUUUAGAUUCUUCAAAGUAGCCACCCUUUGCUUUGACAGCUUUUCACACUCUUGGCAUUCUCUCAACCAGCUUCCCCUGGAAUGAUUUUCCAACAGUCUUGAAGGAGUUCCCACAUGCUGAGCAAUUGUUGGCUACUUUUCCUUCACUCUGCGGUUCAACUCAUCCCAAACCAUCUCAAUUGGAUUGAAGUCGGGUGAUUGUGGAGUCCAGGUCAUCUGAUGCAGCACUCCAUCAUCAUUGUCCUGUUGAAAAACAAAUUACAUGUCCCACUAAGCACAACCCAAAUGGGAUGGCAUACUGCUGCAGAAUGCUGUGGUAGCCAUACUGGUUAAGUGUGCCUUGAAUUCUAAAUAAAUCAGACCGUGUCACCAGCAUAGCACCCCCUCACAUCACCUCCUCCAUGCUUCACGGUGGGAAGCACACAUGCGGAGAUCAUCUGUUCACAUACACUGCGUCUCACAAAGGCACGUGAUUGCCACCAGUCUAAUAUCCAUUGCUUGUGUUUCUUGUCCCAAGUUGUUGAGAUGUGUCUGUUACUUGAACUCUGUGAAGCAUUUAUUUGUGCUGCAAUUUCUGAGACUGCUAACUCUAACAUGCUGACCAUACCGGACACGUCGCGUGCGUUGCAAAAUACAUUUAGAAAUCCAUGUUAUUAAAUUAUUGCACCCACACUGCUCGCGCACGCCAACUAGCCUCUGCCACGUCAAGGGCUAAAAUAGAACUCAUUCCUAUUUCUGACGCAGAUCGCGCUGCAAGUCCUGCCUCUCCCAUCUCCUCAUUGGUUUAUAGAAGCAGGUGAUUGAAAGACGUGAUUGAAAGACUAACUGUUUUGCCGGUAGUCGUGGUAAUACAAUGAAAGUUUAGAUGCGAUCACCAUAUAAUUUAAACAAUGAAAAAGCCUGGAAGGAGGAGCGAUGACUAGAAACGAUUCGGUUGGCCGUUUUUAUAUGUGAAUUAAUUGUCGGAGUAGAGGUCCUUGUGCAUUUCAGGUAAAAUAACAACUCAAUGUUUAUAUCCCAGGACAAAUUAGCUAGCAACAGCAAGCUAGCUAAAUUACAAAUUAACAUUAGCUAGCAAGUGCAAGCUAACUAGCUAAAUUGCCAUACAUGUUUAAUGCUUUUCGUCCUGUCCCCAAAUUAAUGUCAUUGGGUCAGAGUUUGUUUUGAUAUUUUAACCUGCGUGUCCUGAUCGCGUUUGGUGUGAGGGGGGGCAAAAUAAAUGUAUGCACGAUAGCGCAAGAUUGCGCACACGCGCAGCCGGUUUGUGUUCCGUGUAAUGAACUUACCCACUUUAGCAGAGGUAACUCUGGGUCUUCCUUUCCUGUGGCGGUCCUCAUGAGAGCCAGUUUCACCAUAGCACUUGAUGGUUUUUCUGGCUGCACUUUGAAAAACUUUAAAAGUUCUUGAAAUUUUCCGGAUUGACUAACCUGAAUGUCUUAAAGUAAUGAUGAACUGUUUCUCUUUACUUAUUUGAGCUGUUUUUGCCAUAAUAUGGACUUGAUCUUUUAAAAAAUAGGGUUAUCUUCUGUAUACCCCACAUACCUUGUCACAACACAACUGAUUGGCUCAAACUCAUUAAGAUGAAAGAAAUUCCUUACAAAUGAACUUUUAACAAGGCACACCUGUUAAUUGAAAUGCAUUCCAGGUGACUACCUCAUGAAGCUGGUUGAGAGAAUGCCAAGAGUGUGCAAAGCUGUCAUCAAGGAAAAAGCUGGCUACUUGAAGAAUCGCAAAUAUAAAAUAUAUUUUGAUUUGUUUAACACUUUUUUGGUUACUACAUGAUUCCAUAUGUGUUAUUUAAUUGUAAUUAUUCACCUACCUCCUCAUGCCUUUUGCACACAAUGUAUAUAGACUCUCUUUUUUUUCUACUGUGUAAUUGACUUGUUAAUUGUUUACUCCAUGUGUAACUCUGUGUUGUCUGUUCACACUGCUAUGCUUUAUCUUGGCCAGGUCACAGUUGUAAAUGAGAACUUGUUCUCAACUAGCCUACCUGGUUAAAUAAAGGUGAAAUUAAAAUUAAAAAUAAAAAUGGUUUUGAAGUCUUCACUAUUAUUCAACAAUGUAGAAAAUAGUACAAAUAAAGAAAAACCCUUGAAUGAGUAGGUGUCUCCAAGCUUUUGACUGGGACUGUAUAUGGUAUGUAAUAACACUCCUGUGUUUCAGCACAAAGCGUAUAACCUGGGCCACCAGUGUGUAGUGGAGGCAUUGGUUACUAGAGGGGUGCUGUUGAACACACCAGGCAAUGAGAACGGCUCUCCUCUACUUGACGCUGUCAACACUGGGCUUCACAGAGCGUUUUGUGAGUAUGGAUAGAAUAGAGGUGUUUAUUUCUACAUUCUUUUGCACAGAAAUUCUUUGUUUACCCUCACAGGCGUAGAGGUCCUAUGUAAUUUUGCAUUCAAGUCAUUUAACAGACGCUCUUAUCCAGAGCCCCUUAAAGGAGCAAUUAGGGUAAUGUGCCUUGCUCAAGGGCACAUCAACAUAUGUUUUACCUAGUCAGCUUGGGGAUUCAAACCAGCAACCUUUCGGUUACUGGAUCCAACGCUCUAACUGCUAGGCUACCUGCAACCCCAAGAAAAAAUACCUGUCUCUUUUCAUGCUGACUUAAUCUAAAAUCAUUCACCUGAAUUCAGCAUGAAAAGAGACUGAGGUAGUAAUAAUUUUUCUUGUAGCAUGAUGUGCACUAGAUGGAUAACUACAAUCACACAGUAGGUGACACUCAUUGGUUGUUGGAUGGUGAAGUGUUGUGACCUCAUAAUGUAC
ensembl:lncRNA